rnacentral:lncRNA from 1 species
GUAAUGUAUUGUCACCAAGUAGCACACAUGUUGUACCCUCGCACCUUCACACGAAAAAACAUACAAAUUAUUAAUAGUAGUGGUGAGCACAAAUCAGAGGUGAAUUCAAAACUUAAUUUUUUUUGAAUUUUAUAUUUAUGUUAUGAUUUUGCUAUACUUGCACACAAUAUGUAUAUAUUUUGGAGUUGCAGGAGAAAAGUCCCAGCAAUUAAUGUUGAUUAUUAGAGGCAAAUCAAAGUUUUCUUUUUACGCAGAUAUAUAUCACCCUAUUGUUCCUUUAUAAUAAUGUAUGUCAUGAGCUUGUAAUAUAAACAUAUCUUCUAGGUUAUUAAGUUUUCGCAUGGAUUUCAUUUCUGCACAAGACUGCUGCUAUGUAGGAAGUGAGCACAUGUUCAGUUCGGUUAGCCAAACCUGAUAGUAUUCAUGAGUGGCUGGUUCAAUUAAAUUUCUUUUAAGAAAAUUUGUUUGUCAACGAAAUAUCACUCAUAAAUAAGUUCACAACAUUAUGAUCGAAAUUUCAUUUUUCCAAGGUAUUGAUAUCAUUCAAAUACAAUCUGAAAUUUCUAACAAAUCUUUGACUAUUCAAACACUC